rnacentral:rRNA from 1 species
UGAGGAAUAUUGGGCAAUGCCCGCAAGGGUGACCCAGCAACGCCGCGUGGAGGAUGAAUGUCGUAAGAUUGUAAACUCAUGUUAGAGGGGAAGAAUAGUACCGGUUGGACCGGUAUAUGACUGUACCCUCAGAGAAAGCCCCGGCUAACUUCGUGCCAGCAGCCGCGGUAAUACGAAGGGUGCAAGCGUUACUCGGAAUUACUGGGCGUAAAGCGUGCGUAGGUGGUUGUUUAAGUCUGAUGUGAAAGCCCUGGGCUCAACCUGGGAAUGGCAUUGGAAACUGGGCAGCUAGAGUGCGGUAGAGGGUAGUGGAAUGCCCGGUGUAGCAGUGAAAUGCGUAGAGAUCGGGAGGAACAUCUGUGGCGAAGGCGACUGCCUGGACCAGCACUGACACUGAGGCACGAAAGCGUGGGGAGCAAACA